rnacentral:misc_RNA from 1 species
GAUGAAGAACGUAGCAAAAUGCGAUAAGUAAUGUGAAUUGCAGAAUUCAGUGAAUCAUCGAAUCUUUGAACGCACAUUGCGCCCGCCAGUAUUCUGGCGGGCAUGCCUGUUCGAGCGUCAUUUCAACCCUCAAGCACAGCUUGGUGUUGGGACUCGCGUUAAUUCGCGUUCCCCAAAUUGAUUGGCGGUCACGUCGAGCUUCCAUAGCGUAGUAGUAAAACCCUCGUUACUGGUAAUCGUCGCGGCCACGCCGUUAAACCCCAACUUCUGAAUGUUGACCUCGGAUCAGGUAGGAAUACCCGAUGAACUUAAGCAUAUCAAUAAGCGGAGGA